CGUAGGUGGUAGUGCAAGUCUGGGGUGGAAUCCCAGGGCUUAACCCUGGAACUGCCUUGGAAACUGUAUUACUUGAGUCAGUGAGGGGAGGGUAGAAUUCCUGGUGUAGCGGUGAAAUGCGUAGAUAUCAGGAGGAAGGCCUGUGGCGAAGGCGGCCCUCUGGCGCUGAACUGACACUGAGGCGCGAAAGCGUGGGGAGCAAACAGGAUUAGAUACCCUGGUAGUCCACGCCCUAAACGGUGGGUACUAGGUGUAGGGCUCGUAAGGGUUCUGUGCCGAAGCGAAAGCAUUAAGUACCCCGCCUGGGGAGUACCGGCCGCAAGGUUGAA
rnacentral:rRNA from 1 species